CCUACGGGGGGCAGCAGUGAGGAAUAUUGGUCAAUGGGCGGAAGCCUGAACCAGCCAAGUAGCGUGCAGGAUGACGGCCCUACGGGUUGUAAACUGCUUUUAUACGGGAAUAACGCGCCUUACGUGUAGAGCUUUGCAUGUACCUUAUGAAUAAGGACCGGCUAAUUCCGUGCCAGCAGCCGCGGUAAUACGGAAGGUCCGGGCGUUAUCCGGAUUUAUUGGGUUUAAAGGGAGCGUAAGCCGCAUGUCAAGCGUGCUGUGAAAUGUCCGGGCUCAACCCGGGCCUUGCAGUGGAAACUGGCAGGCUUGAGUCCGCGGAAGGCAGGCGGAAUUCGUCGUGUAGCGGUGAAAUGCUUAGAUAUGACGAAGAACCCCGAUUGCGAAGGCAGCUUGCUGCAGCGGAACUGACGCUGAUGCUCGAAAGCGCGGGUAUCGAACAGGAUUAGAUACCCUAGUAGUC
rnacentral:rRNA from 1 species